rnacentral:tRNA from 1 species
GGCGGCAUAGCCAAGUGGCCUAAGGCGACGGAUUGCAAAUCCGUUAUUCCCCGGUUCAAAUCCGGGUGCCGCCUCCA